AUACCAGCUCUCCGAGUGGUGUGGACGUUUAUUGGGCCUAAAGCAUCCGUAGCUUGCUGAGCAAGUCCCCUGUUAAACCCACCGAUUUAAUCGUUGGUGUGCGGGGGAAACUGUUCGGCUAGGGGACGAGAGAGGCAGACGGUAUUCCCGGGGUAGGGGUGAAAUCCUAUAAUCCCGAGAAGACCACCAGUGGCGAAGGCUGUCUGCUAGAACGCGCCCGACGGUGAGGGAUGAAAGCUGGGGGAGCGAACCGGAUUAGAUACCCGGGUAGUCCCAGCUGUAAACGAUGCAGACUAGGUGUUUGGACGGCCACGUGCCGUUCUAGUGCCGCAGGGAAGCUGUUAAGUCUGCCGCCUGGGAAGUACGAUCGCAAGAUUGAA
rnacentral:rRNA from 2 species